rnacentral:rRNA from 1 species
GACGGAGGUUCCAAGCGUUGUUCGGAUUGACUGGGCGUAAAGGGAGCGCAGGCGGUUGAGUAAGUCUAAAGUGGAAGCCUGGGGCUUAACCCCAGAAGUGCUUUAGAUACUGCUCGGCUUGAGUAUGCCAGAGGAAAGCGGAAUUCAGGGUGUAGCGGUGAAAUGCUUAGAUAUCCUGAGGAACACCGGUGGCGAAAGCGGCUUUCUGGGGCAUUACUGACGCUCAGGCUCGAAAGCGUGGGGAGCAAACAGG